GCUGUUCUGAGGCAAGAGUACUGCGAGUUUUCUGUGUCUGCCAGGCCAGUCCUUGGCGAGUGCAACAGGCACUACGUGGGCAGCUUCGCGUUGUCCUUCUUUGAGCGGGCGUGGCCCACCGAGGCCCAGGGAACUCAUUCUACGGAGCGCGACAGCAGACAAACAAGUUGGUCCGCGUGGUCUUUAAGGCACCUGGAGCCUUGUAUCCAGCCGAGCGCCAGUUUUAACCCUUUCCACACCACGUUCUACUUUCCCCGCGCUUCCACAAGACCCAGUCUUCCCAGGCAGCGCAUUUUGUUCCUUCGCUCCUAAGUCACCCUGAGAGACCCCCAUGAUUGUGUCGUUGUGGGUGUGAUCGUCAUCUUUGUCUUCAUGAAACGAGAACCAACAUGCUUUCACUAUUCCAGGCUGGAGUGCAACGGCGCGAUCUCGGCUCACUGCAACCUCUGGCUCCCGGUUUCAAGCGAUUCUCCUGCCUCAGCCUCCCGAGUAGCCGGAAUUACAGGCGCCUGCCACCACGCCUGGCUAAUUUUUUGUAUUUUUAGUAAAGACGGGAUUUUACCAUGUCGGCCAGGCUGGUCUCGAACUCCUGACCUCAGGUGAUCCUCCCGCCUCGGCCUCCCAAAGUGCUGGGAUUACAGGCGUGAGCCACUGCCCCCGGCUGCUUCCACUAUUUCUAAGCACUUUCCCUGCGGUGUGUUGGUAAAGGGGGACCCUGCAGUCAGGGGUUCAAUUCUAGUUUCUAAAUAUAGGGGGAGUCGCUUCUGAACGAAGUUUGUUCUGCUUUGUUUGGUUUUUAAGAAUGGAUUGUGCUCGGAAUACACAGUCCCGCGCAAAUCAGAAUUCCUUAGGUGCAUUUUCAACACCUACAAUGUGCCUGACGCAGGGCCAGGACUAUAGACAUGAAAUAUCCGGUCUUGGAGGAAUCCAUUUUCUUACGGGAAGCAACAUUAUAAAUUUGGAAAUGAUUGACCAUUCCCCAAUCCCCACUUCCAAAGCAAACGCACGAAACACUACUGAAUAUGAUCAAUACUGCCUUUGUGUUUAAUUUCCUCUCCUGAGUAGUCAGCCGCCAAUCCAGUGAGCAAUUAUUAGGCGCUUGGCACGUGCCAGCGCUGUGAAUCCAGUGAACAGAUAGUGUUAGACUGGUGAGUGCGGCGAAAAAAACAAAACUGGAUAACGCGGCCCUUCCAGAACGAAGACAAAAUGAUGACAUUCAGAGCUAAACAAAAACUAACAGAACUAAUCACCAGAAGAUUCAUACUUGAAGAAAUGUUACAGAAAGUUAUUCAUGUUGAAGAAAAAUGAUACCUGAUGGAAAAUUUAGAUGUUCCAGAAGGAAUGAAGAUCACUGAAAAUGGUCAAUAUAUAUAAUCCGUAUGACAACUAAGAAUGAAGGAUGAAGGGAGAAGAGGUGGCUGCUGGGUAAGGCCGUCUCUAUGAGUCUAACAAUCUGCAAGGUUCUUACAUUUUACAUGAAGUGCUGCAAUAUUAGCUCUAAGUGGACCAGGAGAGUUAAGAAUGUGUAUAUUGUAAUCCCUAAGCAACGACUAAAAAUAGUUGAAAUAUAGUUAAAAUGAUAACAUAUAAAUUGCAAUGGAAUUUCAAAAUAUUUUUUUCCCAAAUAAGCCAAAAUAAGGUUAAAAAAAAAAAAAAGAAACAAAUGAAUAAAAAACAGAUGGGAAGAUAUAAGACAAAUAGUAAAAUGGUAGACGUAAACCCAAUCCCAUCAAUACUUACCUUAUAU